CUGUGACGAGCAGUAAUUUGCAAGCUCUGUAGAGUGUUUGUUUUUGAACAAAAUAUGUAUCGGCCCCACCCCCUGUACAUCUACAGAGAAACUCUUCAGUGGUAAACUCCUUAUACACACAAGCAAAUUCAAAAAGCCCUGAUGCAAGUGGAUGCAUCUCCCCUGGAACUCAAUGGAAGUCUCACUCACUUAUGCCAGGGCUCAGUAAGGCCUUUGGUUUCGCACUAGCUCACUGCUGCAUCAGGCUGGAAUCCCAGUGCUUUACAAGAUAAGUAAAGAGCCAGCUUCUUCCGUGACUUCAUCAGUACUAGAACUGAGUACCCAGCUCUGGCUUGAUUCCAUAUCUCUGAAUAAAGACAAGCCAAAGAAGUGCUGAAUAAGGGCUGGAGAAAACCCUGCACCCUUGGAGAAAAUCAUUUCCCCUUUUCCUGCAGGGAGUACAGAGUCUGAGCAGCAGCUGUGAUGAAUGGAGAAAGAAGAGGAGGAGGAUGAAAGAGGCUGGAGCAACGUGAAAGAAGAUUUGUACUGAAGGAGCUGUUCAAGUGCCCAGCAGCAAAACAGAGACACAUACAUGCUUAUAUAGAGAGCAUACGUUAAUACAUGCAUGCCUUGUUGAGAGCGUAAGCAACAUUCCUUUUAGAUAACUGUGGUCUGAGCACUUGUGCUCCUGCAGUUUGAGUCAAAAGAUUAGUGAUGUCCUUGCUGUAGUGCUAACACUUUCCUCACCAGGCAUUGUCUAUGGUAUGGCACACAUCUGCCCCUUUAAGUGUAGAAGUGUGAACAAUCACUUGCAAACCCAGGGCUAAAUAAUACCUGCGGAUAGUGCAUUUGCUGCAAAUAGGCAUCGGUUUGUCUUGGGAGGUGUGGGAAAGGGGUGUUCAGCAGUUUUGACAAGAGACAGUUUGUGUGUGUAUAUAUAUUAAGCUCUAUGACAUCAGGCGAGAUAUGCUUUUCUUACCACUGUACUUUCUCUGGUGCUACAUUUAAUGUUUGUCUAGGGCUAAACUGUCUCUUUGUGGUGCUACAGUUUUACCAGGAUGAUGUUCUGAAACAUGAGCCUGGGAGAAAUAUAUUUUGGUUAUUAAUAUUUAUACACAAAAACUAGGUUGAGAAGGUGCUAUUUUCCUUUCGUUCUACCUGUAAAUAAAUUAGCAAGCAAGCAAACAAAACACACCAGCCAAUCUAACCCUGAACUUUAUAAAACAACUCAACUUUGGGGCAGCUCAUCUCUUGCUUUGCUGGAAUGUACCACGUGAUAUGAUAGCAGUUGUGCAGAACAGGAGAUUGUUUUCAGCCCUAGAUAUUCAAAAAAGGUGGAAGGAUUUGGCCCAAUAAUCAGCUAUGUUAGAGCUUUGUGGUGGGGAGCUGGUAGGGAUGCAUGCCUAAGUCCUUGCUACUCUCUGAAACCAUAGGGGUUUAAAGAGCUACAAAAUCCUCAGAGCAGUUUCUAAGGCCACGGGGCAAUAACAGCCAUUCCUACUAGUACAGCAUCAGCUGAUGUUCCUUUGUAAACCAUUAAUUUCAGAAGUCUCAUAAAAACAGUGAUAAAAAUGGCUCUGGGCUGGAAGUUUAGCAACCAAGUCUGAUCCGACUGGUCAUUGUUCUCACUAAAUAUUUUUAAAAGACUGGGUCCGAUACAUCCAUAUUAAAC